CCUAUCAACUUUCGAUGUUACUUUCUGCGCCUACCAUGGUGACCACGGGUACCGGGGAAUCAGUGUUCGAUUCCG
rnacentral:rRNA from 1 species